CCUACGGGUGGCAGCAGUGGGGAAUAUUGCACAAUGGGCGAAAGCCUGAUGCAGCAACGCCGCGUGAGCGAUGAAGGCCUUCGGGUCGUAAAGCUCUGUCCUCAAAGAAGAAAAUGACGGUACUUGAGGAGGAAGCCCCGGCUAACGACGUGCCAGCAGCCGCGGUAAUACGUAGGGGGCUAGCGUUAGCCGGAAUUACUGGGCGUAAAGGGUGCGUAGGUGGUUUCUGAAGUCAGAGGUGAAAGGCUACGGCUCAACCGUAGUCAGCCUUUGAAACUGGGAAACUUGAGUGCAGGAGAGGCGAGUGGAAUUCCUAGUGUAGCGGUGAUAUGCGUCGAUAUUAGGAGGAACACCAGUUGCGAAGGCGGCUCUCUGGACUGUAACUGCCACUGAGGCACG
rnacentral:rRNA from 1 species